rnacentral:rRNA from 1 species
UACGAAGGGGGCUAGCGUUGCUCGGAAUCACUGGGCGUAAAGGGUGCGUAGGCGGGUUUUUAAGUCAGAGGUGAAAUCCUGGAGCUCAACUCCAGAACUGCCUUUGAUACUGAGAAUCUUGAGUAUGGGAGAGGUGAGUGGAACUGCGAGUGUAGAGGUGAAAUUCGUAGAUAUUCGCAAGAACACCAGUGGCGAAGGCGGCUCACUGGCCCAUAACUGACGCUGAGGCACGAAAGCGUGGGGAGCAAAGCAGG